rnacentral:misc_RNA from 1 species
CUGGAAGUUCGCAUGGCCGCGCCUUAAAACAGGCGAUAUCGAGCGGGUCAUCAGCGUUGGUCUGGUCGCGCACCAUCUGAUAGUGUUUGCCCGGGACGCUUCAAGCGGGNAAUGCUUCAUAUUAUUCGACAAGAUUGCGGGAUAUGUCCGUCGCCGCUGAGUGAUACGCGCAUGACGGCAUCGCCAGUCGCCUUGUCGUCCGAGCAUUCAUGAAACAGCCGCUG